AUGACAGUCUCACCGUUCUUGAUGGUGGAGAAGUGCUCGUCUGUGGACCGGAGCGGCGACAUGGUGGUGGCAAACCUGGACGGCAUGUUGCUGUUUGACCGGAGCUCUUUCCCGUACUUAGCGCACAUGGCUUUCAAGACCGGCGGCGUACUUCGGCUCCUGUUGCUCCUCCUGCUGGCUCCAAUUGCAGGGCUCCUCUACUUCUUCGUGUCCACAGGCCGUCGCCGGCGCUCGUGCUGCUCACCUUGCUCUGGUUUCCCAUCGGGCUCUUGCUCCUGUUGCUCCUCCUGCUGGCUCCUCCUGCUGCGCGGUGUAGCCGGCGCGCACCUCGUUCGAGUCGUGGUGGAGACGGUCGAUGCAGAGCAGGGGGCGGAGGCCGACCCGGAGCAGCGAGCAAAGGGAGAGGAAGGCGAGCGUGGCGGCCAGGGUGAGGGACACCUACACCUGCCCGUCCAGGGGCCGCGGCGGCGCGGAGGCCAGGAGGGUGAUAUGAGGUGGCGACGACGAGUUCCUCUCGCCGGAUGA
rnacentral:rRNA from 1 species